GUCAAGGUGGCCGAGCGGUCUAAGGCGGUGGCUUCAGGUGCCAUUCUGUUUCGGCAGGCGCGGGUUCGAAUCCCGUCCUUGACA
rfam:Guillardia theta CCMP2712 unplaced genomic scaffold GTITHscaffold_145, whole genome shotgun sequence.